rnacentral:RNase_P_RNA from 1 species
GCAGCAGACCGGUCUGUCGCUCGCGGGCUUACUGCGAGAGGAAAGUCCGGGCAACACAGGGCACCAUCCUUCCUAACGGGAAGUUAUCCGUGAGGGUAAAGUAGCGUAACAGAAAAUGACCGCCUGACAGUAAAAAGUUGUGAUUGCAAAUCACUAACACCGUUCUGUCGGGUAAGGGUGAAAAGGUAGGGUAAGAGCCUACCGCUCCUGCCGGAAUGCAGGGGGUCAGUACGUCUGAUGGGUUGCAAACUCAUGUACACCGGCGUUAUCAGGGCUGCCCGCCCGAGUCGGGGGGUAGAGUGCACAGAACUUGUCGGCAACGGCAAGUCAAGAUAAAUGACAGACGCCCUGAAGCGAAAGCAACAGGGUACAGAACCCGGCUUACAGGUCGGCUGCCGAU